rnacentral:rRNA from 1 species
GGGAGGAAUAUUGGGUCAAAUGGGGGCGAGAGCCUGAACCAGCCAAGUAGCGUGCAGGACGACGGCCCUAUGGGUUGUAAACUGCUUUUAUAAGGGAAUAAAGUGAGUCUCGUGAGACUUUUUGCAUGUACCUUAUGAAUAAGGACCGGCUAACUCCGUGCCAGCAGCCGCGGUAAUACGGAGGAUGCGAGCGUUAUCCGGAUUUAUUGGGUUUAAAGGGUGCGCAGGCGGCGCGCCAAGUCAGCGGUCAAAGUUCCGGGCUCAACCCGGUGUCGCCGUUGAAACUGGCGUGCUCGAGUGCGUGCGAGGAAGGCGGAAUGCGUUGUGUAGCGGUGAAAUGCAUAGAUAUGACGCAGAACUCCGAUUGCGAAGGCAGCUUUCCAGCGCGCUACUGACGCUGAGGCACGAAAGCGUGGGGAU